GACAGAGGGUGCAAACGUUGUUCGGAAUUACUGGGCGUAAAGCGCGUGUAGGCGGCUAAGUAAGUCGGGCGUGAAAUCCCACGGCUCAACCGUGGAAGUGCACUCGAAACUGCAUAGCUAGAGUCCUGGAGAGGAAGGUGGAAUGCUUGGUGUAGAGGUGAAAUUCGUAGAUAUCAAGCGGAACACCGGUGGCGAAGGCGGCCUCUGGACGAGUGA
rnacentral:rRNA from 1 species